AUACAUAUAAAUUUUUAAUAUUCACUUAAUUUCAACUGUAGCAUUUACUGACAUAAAAAUGUACAACAGAAAAUAAUAAUUUACAUAUUAUGUAAACGAAUCAGCUUAAUAUCAGUUUUUAACGAUAUGCAAAGUAUAAGUCCUUUUAUGGUAUUUUAUAUUCUGUAUUAUAUUCGUCGUAUGAUAAUCGUUCAUAAAUAAUGUAGUUUAUAUAAUAAUAUAUUUCAUCUUACAUUAACAAUCACCGCGUGACACCAUUCUUGCGCCCAGACGUCACAGAAAGAUGCACGUUACAAACGUACAAACAUACUUUUUCCCUAGUUAAGAAACUUCUCAGAUUUUUAUUAUCGAAAUACCGCGCUAUGAAGUAUGCGUGUAUUUCGUAAAGGCAUCGUGCACGUGUUAAAAAAAAAUCGGUAAGGCAAUUAACAUUUCUCUGUUAUCACGGUUGACGAUUUUCGCGUCGUGAUGCACCGAUGCCACUCAUUCUCUUUCAUUCCAAUUCUUUGUCCAGUUAAAUCGUCAUUGCAAACCAUUAUGAAUUUCGAUACUCACAUCUGCGCAUACAAUAUACACGUCCACAACUUUUUCGUAGUUCGUUGAUUCGUUCAUUAUCCUUCUAUGGAAACCAGGUGACUGAUUGCCAGAUGUGAUUCUACUACAAAGACUUUGUACUUCACAAAUGCAUUUUUCAAUUACAUUUAAUGAUGUAAUUUAAUGAACCGACGCGUGCUCUAAGGUAAAUGUAGACAGUCUUCCUCAUUUAUCGAAGAUGUAAAAAGCACCGGAGUAGUUAACAAAGCUAUUGUCUAGUGUCUGAUUAUUUUUUUUGCAUCGAUGUCAUUGAUUUCUUUCUUACCCUUUGUCUAAGUACUCAAAGUAUUCGUAAUAUGCGAAUCGUUAAGCACCUGCUUCUUGACGUGGGAUUUACCUAGAGGAAAAGGAGGAAAAGGGGGAAGAAAACUUAGACGCAUAGACCGGUUUAUGGAACUGGGUAAUUCGGUAAUCGUUAGAUUACGCGCGUCCCAUCGCCCUGACGCAGAGCAAGUGCCGCACAGUUUUCGUGCUGUUAGAACGGCCUUGUCGGAUGAAAGUACUCAAGGUAUCGUCGCAAUUCCAUAUUCAUAAUGUAGAGUAAUUAGUACAGAGAAAGAGAAGGCUGUACCAGAGCUUCCGGUUUGUUAUCAAUAAAAAUAUCUAAAAUUUAUUGCAAAAAAUAAUCAUAUUUCGAUGUUCUCAGUACCUUACCACCACCUGUAUUUUUUUAAUUCAUUUCAUUUCUAGGAUAUCAAGUAAUGUACAUUGACAUGUUAAAGAAUAUAGUUGUAAAAUGAAAUAAUAAACUGUAAGAUGAGAUGA